rnacentral:rRNA from 1 species
AAAAAAUUUUUAAAUAUAUAUAUUUAAUGGGGGUUAAAGUAUAUUUAUUGAAAAAAUAAAUUAAUUUAUAGUAAAUUAGUAUUGUGAAAGAAAUUUGAAAUAUUUGAAAUAUAAAUUCAAGUAAAAGUAAUUUUAAUUUAAUGUAUCUUGUGUAUCAGAGUUUAUUAAUAAAAAUUUAUGGUGAAGAAAUUCUCGAAUUUAAAAGAGAUAAUUAAUUAAUAAAGUUAUUGUAGCAAAAAUAUUUUAAAUAAUUAAUUGGAAAUGAAAUGUUAAUCGUUUUUAAAUAUAUCUAGUUUUUUUAGAAAAAAAUUUAAUUUUGUAUUUUCUAAAAAGAAAAUUAAUUAAUUAAUUUUCUUUUUAGAAAAUGUAAUAUUUUAAGGGAUAAGCUUUAAAAUAAAUUUAUAUAAUAGUUUUUCUUUAUUUUUGAAAUUUAUAUAAUUUAUAUUGUUAAUUAAUUAUAGUUUAUUAUAAAUAAUUUCAUUUAAAAUAAAAUUUAAUAUUUAAUAUUUAUAUUUUUAUAAAAAAAUAUUUUAAAAUUAUAAUAAAAUAGUUAUAAUGAUAAAAUUAGUAUAUAAAUAAUUUAAUAAAGUUAUUUUUAUAAUAAUUAAUUAAAAGGAAUUCGGCAAAAAUUUAUGUUCACUUGUUUAUCAAAAACAUGUCUUUUUGAAUUUAAUAUAAAGUCUAAUCUGCCCACUGAUUAAUAAUUAAAGGGCUGCAGUAUUUUGACUGUACAAAGGUAGCAUAAUCAAUAGUCAUUUAAUUGAUGACUUGUAUGAAAGAUUGGAUGAAAUAUAAACUGUCUCUUAAUUAUAUAAUAGAAAUUAAUUUUUUAAUUAAAAAGUUAAAAUAAUUUAAAAAGACGAGAAGACCCUAUAGAGUUUUAUAAAUAUGUUAUAUUAAAAUUAUUUAUAAAUUUAAUUAUUAAAAUUAACUUAUUUAUUUUGUUGGGGUGACAGAAAAAUAUAUAAAACUUUUUUUUAUUAAGACCAUAAAUAAGUGAUUAAUUGAUCCAGUUUUACUGAUUAUAAGAAAAAAUUACCUUAGGGAUAACAGCGUAAUUUUUUUUUUUAGUUCAUAUAAAAAAAAGAGUUUGCGACCUCGAUGUUGGAUUAAGAUAAAAUUUAAAUGCAGAAGUUUAAAAUUUUUGAUCUGUUCGAUCAUUAAAAUCUUACAUGAUCUGAGUUCAAACCGGUGUAAGCCAGGUUGGUUUCUAUCUUUUAAUAAUAUUAAUAUUUUAGUACGAAAGGAUUAAAUAUUAAAAUUAAAUUUAAAAAUUUGAAUAUUAAUAAAU